rnacentral:rRNA from 1 species
AGUGAACGCUGGCGGUAGGCCUAACACAUGCAAGUCGAACGGCAGCACAGUAAGAGCUUGCUCUUACGGGUGACGAGUGGCGGACGGGUGAGGAAUACAUCGGAAUCUACUUUUUCGUGGGGGAUAACGUAGGGAAACUUACGCUAAUACCGCAUACGACCUACGGGUGAAAGCAGGGGAUCUUCGGACCUUGCGCGAUUGAAUGAGCCGAUGUCGGAUUAGCUAGUUGGCGGGGUAAAGGCCCACCAAGGCGACGAUCCGUAGCUGGUCUGAGAGGAUGAUCAGUCACACUGGAACUGAGACACGGUCCAGACUCCUACGGGAGGCAGCAGUGGGGAAUAUUGGACAAUGGGCGCAAGCCUGAUCCAGCCAUACCGCGUGGGUGAAGAAGGCCUUCGGGUUGUAAAGCCCUUUUGUUGGGAAAGAAAAGCAGCGGGUUAAUACCCCGCUGUUCUGACGGUACCCAAAGAAUAAGCACCGGCUAACUUCGUG